rnacentral:rRNA from 1 species
GACGAACGCUGGCGGCGUGCUUAACACAUGCAAGUCGAACGGUGAAGCGCCUUCCUUUUUGGUGGGUGUGGAUGAGUGGCGAACGGGUGAGUAACACGUGAGUAACCUGCCCCCUUCUUCUGGAUAACCGCAUGAAAGUGUGGCUAAUACGGGAUAUUCUGUGUCUGUCGCAUGAUGGUUCUGGGAAAGAUUUUGUUUCGGUGGGGGAUGGUCUCGCGGCCUAUCAGCUUGUUGGUGGGGUGAUGGCCUACCAAGGCGGUGACGGGUAGCCGGCCUGAGAGGGUGGACGGUAACAGUGGGACGGAGAGACGGAGCAGACUACGAGAGGAGGCAGCAGUGAGGAAUAUGGCACAAUGGGCGGAAGGAUGAUGCAACGACGCGGCGUGAGGGAUGGAGGCCGUAGGGUUGUGAACCUCUUUAGGCAGUGAAGAAGGGCUGACUCGUUUGUGGGUGGGUUGACGGUAGCUGGAGAAGAAGCGACGGCUAACUACGUG